AUGGGAAAGGGAAGUAGCUUCCUACAUGAGGUCAUAUUCUCUACAGAGGUUCCUCAGAGAAAUAUGGGAGGUCCCACUCUCCGACCCCAGCAGAGCCCCAGUAAGCCCUGUCCCACCCCAGAGGAUGUCCAGACCAGGCCCGCCAGCGGCCACCAUGGCUCCAGGAGAGGGCCAGGGCUGACUGGGUCGAAGAGGAGCCACCGGAAGGUGGUCCGGGAUCAGAUCCGGAGAGUGUUGGAGAACCUGGAGGAGGUUCUAGGAGGCCUGAAGGACAUCCAUCAGGAGAUGAAGGAGGUAAAGAUGUUUCUGUUUGCCUAUAAGUUACAGAUAGGGUCUAUCUUUGAUGGGGGGAUUUAAAGCUGUUUCUCAUGCAG
rnacentral:lncRNA from 1 species